GCAGGAAGUUGACCACUUGGUUCUGAUCUUGUGUGACCAUCGUCGAGUGGGGCCGCCAAUCAUCUAAGGCCGGCCCUGAAAAACAACUGUUUUAGAAAUUUAACAAAUAAUGUCAACCUUUGGGAAACAAAAUACAGAUAGUUGGCCACACAAAGAAAACUCGUUCCAAUUGUUCACAGUGACUACAACCGAUGGACCAAACAAAAGACUAAAUUAGCGGUCCGCUUGACGUUUGAUUGAAGAGAGGACGUAGAAUUUGAGAGCCAGAUAAUUUUGUUGAAGGGAGCAUUGUAAUGCUAACCGUUUUGUUGAAGGAUGAAAUAGUGUUGUGGGCAAAAUAAACAUAUUAAAACCAACUAUAUCAACCGUAGCAUACGGGUAUUUGCUAGUUCUGUAUACAAUUUUGAAAUUUUGUGUGCUAUUUAGGCAUCUUAAAGUUGUCAUUUAAUGUAUGCAAUUUUACAUCAAGAAUGUCAUAGAAAAAGAAAAUGUUAAAUUUGUCUUCA